GAUGAACGCUAGCGGCAGGCCUAAUACAUGCAAGUCGAGGGGUAACAGGAAGUGCUUGCACUUCGCUGACGACCGGCGCACGGGUGAGUAACGCGUAUACAAUCUACCUCAUACUAGAGGAUAGCCCGAAGAAAUUUGGAUUAACACUCUAUAGUAUCAUUUAAAGACAUCUUUUUAUGAUUAAAGGUUACAGGUAUGAGAUGAGUAUGCGUUCUAUUAGUUUGUAGGUGAGGUAACGGCUCACCUAGACUGCGAUAGAUAGGGGCCCUGAGAGGGGGACCCCCCACACUGGUACUGAGACACGGACCAGACUCCUACGGGAGGCAGCAGUAAGGAAUAUUGGUCAAUGGACGAAAGUCUGAACCAGCCAUGCCGCGUGCAGGAUGAAUGCCCUAUGGGUUGUAAACUGCUUUUAUAUAGGAAGAAAAACUUUCUCGU
rnacentral:rRNA from 1 species